GAAAACCAGCUGGAGGUGCAGGUGGACCUUUGAAGCGGAAGAGGCAGUCGAGCCCCCAGCCCGAGGUGGAUUCAGGCGCUUCAAUGAAGGCCAAGCAGAAGGAUUCAUCUCUAACUGGUUCCUCUGCAGCUCUGCAGAUGAAAUCAAC